rnacentral:rRNA from 1 species
GGUUAAGCGACUAAGCGUACACGGUGGAUGCCCUGGCAGUCAGAGGCGAUGAAGGACGUGCUAAUCUGCGAAAAGCGUCGGUAAGGUGAUAUGAACCGUUACAGCCGGCGAUGUCCGAAUGGGGAAACCCAGUGCAAUUCGUUGCACUAUCGUUAACUGAAUACAUAGGUUAACGAGGCGAACCGGGGGAACUGAAACAUCUAAGUACCCCGAGGAAAAGAAAUCAACCGAGAUUCCCCCAGUAGCGGCGAGCGAACGGGGAGCAGCCCGGAGUCUGAAUCAGCUUGUGUGUUAGUGGAAGCGUCUGGAAAGUCGCAGGGUACAGGGUGAUACUCCCGUACACUAAAGCACACAGGUUGUGAACUCGAAGAGUAGGGCGGGACACGUGGUAUCCUGUCUGAAUAUGGGGGGACCAUCCUCCAAGGCUAAAUACUCCUGACUGACCGAUAGUGAACCAGUACCGUGAGGGAAAGGCGAAAAGAACCCCGGCGAGGGGAGUGAAAAAGAACCUGAAACCGUGUACGUACAAGCAGUAGGAGCCCACUUGUUGGGUGACUGCGUACCUUUUGUAUAAUGGGUCAGCGACUUAUAUUCUGUAGCAAGGUUAACCGUAUAGGGGAGCCGCAGGGAAACCGAGUCUUAACUGGGCGUUAAGUUGCAGGGUAUAGACCCGAAACCCGGUGAUCUAGCCAUGGGCAGGUUGAAGGUUGGGUAACACUAACUGGAGGACCGAACCGACUAAUGUUGAAAAAUUAGCGGAUGACUUGUGGCUGGGGGUGAAAGGCCAAUCAAACCGGGAGAUAGCUGGUUCUCCCCGAAAGCUAUUUAGGUAGCGCCUCGUGAACUCAUCUUCGGGGGUAGAGCACUGUUUCGGCUAGGGGGUCAUCCCGACUUACCAACCCGAUGCAAACUACGAAUACCGAAGAAUGUUAUCACGGGAGACACACGGCGGGUGCUAACGUCCGUCGUGAAGAGGGAAACAACCCAGACCGCCAGCUAAGGUCCCAAAGUCAUGGUUAAGUGGGAAACGAUGUGGGAAGGCCCAGACAGCCAGGAUGUUGGCUUAGAAGCAGCCAUCAUUUAAAGAAAGCGUAAUAGCUCACUGGUCGAGUCGGCCUGCGCGGAAGAUGUAACGGGGCUAAACCAUGCACCGAAGCUGCGGCAGCGACACUAUGUGUUGUUGGGUAGGGGAGCGUUCUGUAAGCCGUUGAAGGUGGCCUGUGAGGGUUGCUGGAGGUAUCAGAAGUGCGAAUGCUGACAUAAGUAACGAUAAUGCGGGUGAAAAACCCGCACGCCGGAAGACCAAGGGUUCCUGUCCAACGUUAAUCGGGGCAGGGUGAGUCGACCCCUAAGGCGAGGCCGAAAGGCGUAGUCGAUGGGAAACAGGUUAAUAUUCCUGUACUCGGUGUUACUGCGAAGGGGGGACGGAGAAGGCUAUGUUGGCCGGGCGACGGUUGUCCCGGUUUAAGCAUGUAGGCGGAUGUUCCAGGUAAAUCCGGAACGUCACUAACGCUGAGGUGUGAUGACGAGGCACUACGGUGCUGAAGUGACAAAUGCCCUGCUUCCAGGAAAAGCCUCUAAGCAUCAGGUAACAUCAAAUCGUACCCCAAACCGACACAGGUGGUCAGGUAGAGAAUACCAAGGCGCUUGAGAGAACUCGGGUGAAGGAACUAGGCAAAAUGGUGCCGUAACUUCGGGAGAAGGCACGCUGAUGGUAGGUGAAGUGACUUGCUCAUGGAGCUGAAAUCAGUCGAAGAUACCAGCUGGCUGCAACUGUUUAUUAAAAACACAGCACUGUGCAAACACGAAAGUGGACGUAUACGGUGUGACGCCUGCCCGGUGCCGGAAGGUUAAUUGAUGGGGUUAUCCUCGCGGAGAAGCUCUUGAUCGAAGCCCCGGUAAACGGCGGCCGUAACUAUAACGGUCCUAAGGUAGCGAAAUUCCUUGUCGGGUAAGUUCCGACCUGCACGAAUGGCGUAAUGAUGGCCAGGCUGUCUCCACCCGAGACUCAGUGAAAUUGAACUCGCUGUGAAGAUGCAGUGUACCCGCGGCAAGACGGAAAGACCCCGUGAACCUUUACUAUAGCUUGACACUGAACACUGGUCCUUGAUGUGUAGGAUAGGUGGGAGGCUUUGAAGUGUGGACGCCAGUCUGCAUGGAGCCAUCCUUGAAAUACCACCCUUUAAUGGCUGGUGUUCUAACGUGGGCCCCUAAUCGGGGUUGCGGACAGUGUCUGGUGGGUAGUUUGACUGGGGCGGUCUCCUCCUAAAGAGUAACGGAGGAGCACGAAGGUCAGCUAAUCCUGGUCGGACAUCAGGAGGUUAGUGCAAUGGCAUAAGCUGGCUUGACUGCGAGCGUGACGGCGCGAGCAGGUGCGAAAGCAGGUCAUAGUGAUCCGGUGGUUCUGAAUGGAAGGGCCAUCGCUCAACGGAUAAAAGGUACUCCGGGGAUAACAGGCUGAUACCGCCCAAGAGUUCAUAUCGACGGCGGUGUUUGGCACCUCGAUGUCGGCUCAUCACAUCCUGGGGCUGAAGUAGGUCCCAAGGGUAUGGCUGUUCGCCAUUUAAAGUGGUACGCGAGCUGGGUUUAGAACGUCGUGAGACAGUUCGGUCCCUAUCUGCCGUGGGCGCUGGAGAAUUGAGGGGGGCUGCUCCUAGUACGAGAGGACCGGAGUGGACGCAUCACUGGUGUUCGGGUUGUCAUGCCAAUGGCAUUGCCCGGUAGCUAAAUGCGGAAGAGAUAAGUGCUGAAAGCAUCUAAGCACGAAACUUGCCCCGAGAUGAGUUCUCCCUGACUCCUUGAGAGUCCUGAAGGAACGUUGAAGACGACGACGUUGAUAGGCCGGGUGUGUAAGCGCAGCGAUGCGUUGAGCUAACCGGUACUAAUGAACCGUGAGGCUUAACCUU